rnacentral:lncRNA from 1 species
CUUGAGGAAAAGGAUGAAAUCAUCUGAUUUCAUUAGCUAGCUGUUGUCAUGGUUUUCUUUUAGGAACAUAAGAGCUGAUGUAUGUUAGAAUGGCUGUUGUUUGAACCUGAGAAGGGAGCAAGCAUUGGGCUGCCAUCUCUAAUGAUACUCCUUGUCAGGCCUCCCAUGCUUCUGGUAAGUUAGCUGAUAGUAAUUUUAUCAGAACUUGCAUAUAGGUGAAAAGAUAUCAUAUGCUACUGAAAGUCUAUCACAAAUUUUAACCAGUAGCAACUCCACUGAACCACUAAACUCAGGGC